rnacentral:tRNA from 1 species
GAAACGGUAGUUCAAAGGAAGAAUACUGGCCUUCCACGCGAGAGGUUGCGGGUUCGAAUCCCGCCCGUUUCA